rnacentral:rRNA from 1 species
AGGAUGAACGCUGGCGGCGUGCCUAACACAUGCAAGUCGAACGUCCUGUCUCGCAAGAGGCAGGGAGUGGCGGACGGGUGAGUACCACGUGGGUCAUCUACCGUGAGGUGAGGAAUACCGGCGAGAAAUCGCCGACAAGACCGCAUAGGCUCGAUGCAAGUCGAGCAAAGCUCUUUCGAGAGAGGGAGCGCCACACGAGGAGCCUGCGCCCGAUUAGCUAGCUGGUGGAGUAACGGUUCACCAGGGCGACGAUCGGUAGCUGGUCUGAGAGGACGAUCAGCCACACUGGGAUUGAGAACGGCCCAGACUCCUACGGGGGCAGCAGUGAGGAAUUUUCGUCAAUGGGGGCAACCCUGAACGAGCAACGCCGCGUGCAGGAAGAAGGUUUUCGGAUCGUAAACUGCUUUUCUCGGGGAAGAGAAUGGACGGUACCCGAGGAAUCAGCCCCGGCUAACUACGUGCCAGCAGCCGC